rnacentral:rRNA from 1 species
AUACGGGGGGUGCAAGCGUUGUCCGGAAUCAUUGGGCGUAAAGGGUUCGUAGGUGGAAUUAUAAGUCUGGUGUGAAAGCCCACAGCUCAACUGUGGAACUGCACUGGAUACUGUUUUUCUUGAGUUAUAGAGGGGUUUGUGGAAUUUCUGGUGUAGAGGUGAAAUUUGUAGAGAUCAGAAAGAACACCGGUGGCGAAGGCGACAAACUGGCUAUUAACUGACACUGAGGAACGAAAGCGUGGGGAGCGAACAGGAUUAGAAACCCUUGUAGUCC